ACGUGAUCUGAGUUCAGACCGGAGUAAUCCAGGUCAGUUUCUAUCUAUAAAGGAGUUUUUUCUAGUACGAAAGGACCGAAAAAACAUGGCCUAUACUUUAUGCAAGCCAUAAUUAUUAACUUAUGAUAAAAUCUCAAUAAGUACUUAACCCAACACUAAACUCAAAAAAAGAGUA
rnacentral:rRNA from 1 species